rnacentral:tRNA from 1 species
AGUGGUGUAGCACUUGCCUAGCAUGCAGGCAGCCCAGGGUUUGAUUCCCUGCACCAUCA